GCUUUUGUUCACACCACCCUGAGAACACCCAAUCUCGUCUGAUCUCGGAAGCUAAGCAGGGUUUGGCCUGGUUAGUACUUGGAUUGGAGACCACCUGGGAAUACCAGUUGCAGUAAGCU
ensembl:rRNA 5S_rRNA 5S ribosomal RNA